rnacentral:rRNA from 1 species
AACGAACGCUGGCGGCAUGCCUAACACAUGCAAGUCGAACGAGAUCUUCGGGUCUAGUGGCGCACGGGUGCGUAACGCGUGGGAAUCUACCCUUUGGUUCGGAAUAACAGUUGGAAACGACUGCUAAUACCGGAUGAUGACGAAAGUCCAAAGAUUUAUCGCCAGAGGAUGAGCCCGCGUAGGAUUAGCUAGUUGGUGUGGUAAAGGCGCACCAAGGCGACGAUCCUUAGCUGUUCUGAGAGGAUGAUCGGCCACACUGGGACUGAGACACGGCCCAGACUCCUACGGGAGGCAGCAGUGGGGAAUAUUGGACAAUGGGCGAAAGCCUGAUCCAGCAAUGCCGCGUGAGUGAUGAAGGCCUUAGGGUUGUAAAGCUCUUUUACCCGGGAUGAUAAUGACAGUACCGGGAGAAUAAGCUCCGGCUAACUCCGUGCCAGCCGCCGCCGUAA